rnacentral:rRNA from 1 species
UACAGAGGUCUCAAGCGUUGUUCGGAUUCAUUGGGCGUAAAGGGUGUGUAGGUGGCGCCGUAAGUCGGGUGUGAAAUUUCGGAGCUUAACUCCGAAACUGCAUUCGAUACUGCGGUGCUUGAGGACUGGAGAGGAGACUGGAAUUCAUGGUGUAGCAGUGAAAUGCGUAGAGAUCAUGAGGAAGACCAGUGGCGAAGGCGGGUCUCUGGACAGUUCCUGACACUGAGACACGAGGGCCAGGGGAGCAAACGGG